CUGGGACAGUGUGAGAUAUCAUACACAAGAAGAAUUACAGGAAGUACAUGUGUAGUAAUUAUGUUUUGUAGACUCAUUUUAUAUGAUCUGCAAAUGUGAGCUAAUCCCCAAUUGAAUAACUAGUGUAGGGGGAUGUCAGUGUAAGCAGUAGAUGCCACAUAGAAGUGUUAGAUAUCUCCAGAAAGUUGGGACUGUGAAGAUGCAUUUUAGAUGCAGCUUAACACGGUGUCAAUGUUUUCCACACAUUGAUAUAUUAAUAAAAUGGAGAAUGGUCAGAGUGUGUGAGAGAGCGAGGCAUUAUGUGGGAGACCUACGAUAGCCAUUGCCACGCUCCAUUAAAUGUAAAAAGUAGUGAGGCAUUUCCCAAUCCUUUGACUUAAUCCUAAUGUCUGGACUCGUGGACUCAAAAUAAUCCUCACAAAUAGGUGGAGAUUCACAAAUAUAUUUCCACUGAAAAAUGUGAAUUUGAUCUGCGAAUGAUGAUAUAAGAGUGGUAAAUUAGAGGCACAGCUAGAGAUUUACAGAUUCAAAUCACUCUGCAUUUAUUUGUGCAUUGUUUUGUUUUUUUACGAGUUACGCAACAUGUCAUUUGUUUGUGAAUACUAAUGAGACUGUUUUAAACCCAUAUAACAUAUCUGAUACAGAGAGAAGUAGCUCAACCAGUAACAUCUGUAAAUUUGCAGGUUUUAAUUCAAAGGCAGCAGUGAGUAUCUGUUUUUAACUCUCAUCUUAGAAAAGUACAAGUAUAAAAACACAGACCCCGUGGGACUGAUUAUGUAAGUAAGUCAAUAAACUUAGUCAAUGAUUCAGUGUGUAUGUGAGGUUUGGGGGGUGGUGUUAAUAUGAAUGUGAAUAAACAAUAUUUAGUUGUGCAUUAUUUUUUUUUUUGUUAACCUCACAGCUCAUUGUGGAUUCUCUUAUACCUUCUCUUUGCAGGCAGCAGCUGCAGUCAGUAGCCGUCUUUCCAUCAAAUUGACAUUCUGAAGCAGGGAAAAGAAGAAGGAAGCUUGCUCGAUUCACAAACCAAGCUAUACUAUACAAGCUCCGGUGGACAGAGCGUUCUUAUGUGCGCCUACCAUGGCGUGCUGACAGUGUCAUCGUGCAGAAGAUGGAUCAGAGCAGCAGACCACAAUCAACUUGGUCCAAACCACCAGACGAGGCGCAACGGCGGGUGCGGUGAUCGCAGAGAGGAAAGAAAGCCAGGAGAGGAGCCAUGCUGUACCAGCUUGGACUUAAUUCUGCAUCUAAAGAUCC